UCUCUCUUUAAAACCCUUGUCCUAAAAUUCUCUCUGCCUUUUCUCUAGAUUUUCUCUUCACUGAACCGAUCAAAUUUUGAUUUGAAGGUGUUUCCGCGCUCACUGCAUCAAGGGCUUCAGUUUGAACCGAACGUUUUUCCAUUCCGACCAGUGUUGUCAAACUCGCCUCUGUGAGGAGGUACUGCUAGAGCGUUCCUAGGAGUGGUACUGUUAAGCUUUCCAGAAAGUAUAUGAUUACAAAGUGAUGAAAGUAUGAUCCAAGUUGUAAAUCAAGUUCCAUCUGUGUAGGAUCUCUUGGUGAGAUCCUUAGUGUUUUAGAAUGAAAGUAGGAGCUCAGUCUUGGGGGUCAUUCUGAAA
rnacentral:sRNA from 1 species